ensembl:lncRNA
UUUUUUUUGUAAUUAGACAGUAGAACUCCUUUAUACAUCCUGAACCUUGUGUGAAGACAAUUUCCCCUCGUGUUUUUCAGCAAAUCAUGUUUGUCUUGCAAAUCGGGAGCCCAGCGCAGACAGACAGCUGCAACAGCGACGGUGAGCGGCCCCCACGCCGUGGACAAGGCGGUGCUGCUGCAGUACAGCGUCAACAACGGCAUCACGUGGCACGUCAUCGCGCAGCACCAGCCCAAGGACUUCACUCAGGCCCAGAGAGUGUCGUACAACGUCCCCCUGGAGGCCCGGAUGAAAGGAGUUUUAUUGCGCUGGUGGCAGCCACGCCACAAUGGAACAGGUCAUGAUCAGUGGGCUUUGGACCAUGUGGAGGUCGUCUUCACUCGCAAACAAAAUUACAUGAUGAAUUUUUCUCGACAACAUGGCUCAGGCACUUCUACAACAGAAGACGAAGGUCACUUAGACGAUACCCAUGAAGAAUCAAAAAGUUAUUUUUCCUUCCAACAUGUGAUGUGUUUGCUUUCCAUUCUUUGAAAUCUCGCACUGCAUCUGAUAUCAGGAAAUUUCUGUGAAGGACACGGUGAUUCACUGAAAGCCCUUCUCAAGACCGAGUGUACCACUUUCCCACACUGUGAACUAAUGACAAGUGACUUAUUUUCUCACAAGUAAAUGUCUUCAUGUUGAUGUGUCCGUGAAAAUUGUGAUCUGUUGUAAUAUCUGUUACAGUGGCAGUAUUGGAAAAUAAGAAAUAGUUUAACAGAAAAAAAAAGUUUUAAGCACAAAAAUUUAAGAGAUUUUAUGUUUAAAAUGGCAUUUAGUACAGUAUUUAACAUUCUUGGUCACAAAGCUAUUUAAGUGGACUGUAUUUCAGCUAUGUAUCAUGUUUUAUAUGAUUAAAUUAUCAUUGUCCUUUUAUGUAUUCUCUUCUACAAUAUAAUACAUUGACACUGUAUUUACUUAUGUUGCAAUAUUUUGCUGCUGAAUUUCCGGCUACUUAUAUUCUGCAGAAAAUUCAUUGAAAUACCUACUCAAGAAGAUAGUUGUAAAGAUACUGUAUCUCCUUUAAUAUACUCCUUAAAAUGUAUGUUGGUUUAGCGUUGUUUUGUGGAUAAGAAAAAUGCUUGACAUUGAAAUAUUUUCUACUUAAAAAUUGUGGAUGAAAACUCUAUCUCUCACAAAGGAGUUCCCAUUUCCUUGUCUAAAGAUUUUUUUUUUAAGUGUUCCGUGGCUGAUUUACUAACAGUAACUGCCAUUUGUGUCUGUGGUAACAGAGUGAUUUGUAAAACAGUGGAUGUUUUCAUUGUGUUCUCUUUGUGGAUUGUUUUCCUGCGGGUCAUAUUCAUACAUUCUGAUGAAGUUGUACCAACACCAGCAACAUUAUAAUGGACCUGUCGCCCUGAACUCCGUAUUAACCGAACUAAAAGGUUGCAUUCUAAGGUGAACCAAGCUAAAAGCCCAUACUUAAAUAAAAAUUAUAUCCAAAAGCCAUUUGAAGCUCAUUUGUCUUUAUUCAUUCUUAAUUAAAUUUUGUGUAGGAUUUGUAAGUUUGGUCAGGCUUGGAAAGAACAAUGUCAAAUAUAUUUACUGGUGUUUCAUUUCAUCACCGAGAAUAGCAAUUAUGAAUUUAGCCAUUUUUCUCUUAUUCGGCUUUUUCUAUUAGUUACUCUGUAAUUACACUAAGAAAAGUCAAUAAAGAGUUCUGAAAAUUUUUGAACUCCUGAGAAUUUUGUAAGCUGCUAAUAUAGUGCCUCGUGAUAAGCACUCAGGCAUUCAGUAAACAUUUGCUGAGUGCUUGCUAUGUGCCUGGCACUAUGCUAAGUGUUGAGGAUAAAAAUAGUGAUUGAGACAUUUUCUCUGCUUGUUUUUAACAUAUACAAAAUUAAAAGUUUGUUGAUACUGUU